rnacentral:rRNA from 1 species
UUGAGGAAUUUUCCGCAAUGGGCGAAAGCCUGACGGAGCAAUGCCGCGUGAAGGAUGAAGGCCUAUGGGUUGUAAACUUCUUUUCUCAGAAAAGAAUUAUGACGGUAUCUGAGGAAUAAGCAUCGGCUAACUCUGUGCCAGCAGCCGCGGUAAGAAAGAGGAUGCAAGCGUUAACCGGAAUGAUUGGGCGUAAAGCGUCUGUAGGUUGUUUAAAAAGUAUUCUGUCAAAGAUUAGGGCUUAACCCUAGAUAGGCAGAAUAAACUUUUAAGCUAGAGUUUGGUAGAGGCAGAGGGAAUUCCCGGUGGAGCGGUGAAAUGCGUAGAUAUCGGGAAGAACACCAAAGGCGAAGGCACUCUGCUGGGCCAAUACUAACACUGAGAGACGAAAGCGAGGGGAGCAAAUGGGAUUAGAAACCCUGGUAGUCC